GCCCCUGGGAAACUGAAAACCUGAGCAAUUAUAUCUGAAGAAAAAGGGAAGAAAUGGGACUAUUCACCCAAAAGUUUGCUCCCAGGUACAUCAAAACUGAGCAUGUAAAGUCCAUUGCUGAUAUCUUGGAACAGAAGAGGCAGGAAUGAUAACACUAAGGCAGAAGUACAACAUCCUGAUUGCAGAUGUUUUGUAGGGAAGACAACCGUGCUGAUAAAAACAAAUUGCACUAUGAGCGAACUUUUAGUGAACAGAUUUGGAUUUUACAUUACCCUUUGGAUGGACUGAUUCUAUCACUCUCUGGUUUAUCCCAAUAACAUAGCUGGGAAAGGGAAUUGGACAUUAUUGAUGGAAGAGAAUUUAUAUGCAAACGUACUGGAAUUUUCCAAGCCACAGGAUGAAAAAAUAUUAUAAUAGGAUAACCUGUGGAAAAGAGGAACCAUGUGUUCUGAGUGGCAGGCCUGCCUUGGUCUUCCCCAAAGGAACACAGCUGCUUCCCCACCCUGCAGAAGAAAUUGCCCGAUCUCCUCCUGCAGAGACCUCCCCCAGUGCAGAGAUGGCCAUCAAGAACACACUCAGACCCUUACAGGAAGUUUUCUGCUGUGUGUACAUCAUUACAUGAUUUCAGUAUACAAGUCAGAAAACAAGUAUUGACUGCUGUUUGGGAAUUUAUAAUUGCAGCUAGCUCUUGGGGCUAGAUGUCCUUCAUACUUUGUUCAUUUGCAUUAUGUUGCUACAGCAAAUACAAAAGCCAGCUAAGCCUACAAUGUACUCACACUCUAUAGAGGCACAAAGGCUAGUUGAUAAAAAUGAGGACUGUGGAGUGGGAAGAGUGUUCUUGGUUGUUUUGUUGGGGUUUUUCAAUUCCUCUCUAAGAGUCUUAUGGCUUUAUCUUCAGUCCUACACGUUCAAUAUUUAUUUUAUAGAAGAAAUGAAAGAAAAUUUAACAUUGCUAAUGUGUUUUUGACUUCACAAAUGUAUUUGAAACAUAACAAAACCCCUUGCUUUCAAAUAUGUUUUCUCCAAAGCCAGGAAUAGGUUUUAAUGGCUCAGAAAGAAUAUCAUAAAUACAGCAUCAUCAAACCUAAUCUACCAUGAGAAGAAUAGUAAUGUCAAAUGGCCUCUCCUACAGAAAUGUAUUUUAAUUAAUUACCUAAUUUGUUGGAGCAUUUGUAAUAUAUAUUUAAUGACACUACAGUCUGGCACAGCCUUCCAGACAGUGU